GACAGGAUGGUGUAGUGGUUUGAGCAUUGGACUACAACUCUGGAGACCAGGAUUUGAAUCCCUGCUCAGCCA
rnacentral:tRNA from 1 species